rnacentral:lncRNA from 1 species
AUUGAUGUUUUCGCCGCGACGAUUCGAAAUGAAACGAAGAAAUUAGCAGAAGUGAAGGUCACCGGAGAGGUGAAUGAGGAUUUUACCACUGGAACUAGAGAGCUUGGCUCUGACUGGUCUACUACAGCAAGGAAUGUGCCAGGGGCCAAUCUGAUGAACAUGUGGCAGAAGAUUUGGCAAUGGGUGAAGAAACACUGAGAUUGAAAUGCAACCACAGGUGGAGGCUUCACCCAAACUUUUCAGACGGAUGCGAGAUACAAAGUUACCCAAGUAUAAAUGGUUGAAGGUUUUGGAGAGCCAGACAAGAAGGCAGGAAAUGUGAUGUCACUUUUACUUCAAUAAACAUGAACAGCAGCAGGAGCAACAACAGCAUCAGCAGCCGAAACCUCAACUGCAAUAAGAGAUGCAGCAACCGCACCGACAACAUCAAGAGCAACAGCAAAAAUACCUACAUGUAUUACAGCAGAAAUGCAACAAUCACAUUGGCAACAUCAACAGCAGCAGGAGCUCCAACAACCAUGCAGGGAACAUCGCGCGCAACAUAAAUAACUUCAUCAAGAGAUGCAACAACCACAGUGGUAAACAUCAACAGCAGUAGCGACAACGACAGUAGAAACAAAGCCAAUGUCAAGGAUUAAGCAAUCAUACAGGAAACAACACAAGCGGCAACAUCAAUAAAUGCAUCAGGGGAUGCAACAGCCAUACUUGUAAACAGCAGCAGUAGCAGCGAUGACAAGAGCAACCACACAGGCAACACCUUGAGCAACAUCAGUAGCAAUGCACCAGCAAUGAAACAAUCACACCAACAACACCAA